CCUACGGGUGGCUGCAGUAGGGAAUCUUCCACAAUGGGCGAAAUCCUGAUGGAGCAACGCCGCGUAGGUGACGAAGGUCUUCGGAUCGUAAAACCCUGUUGUUAGAGAAGAAAGUGCGUGAAAGUAACUGUUCACGUUUCGACGGUAUCUAACCAGAAAGCCACGGCUAACUACGUGCAAGCAGCCGCGGUAAUCCGUAGUUGGCAAGCGUUAUCCGGAUUUAUUGGGCGUAAAGGGAACGCAGGCGGUCUUUUAAGUCUGAUGGUAAAGCCUUCGUCUUAACCGGAGUAGUGAGUGUGAAACUGGGAGACUUGAGUGCAGAAGAGGAGAGUGGAACGCCAUGUGUAGCGGUGAAAUGCGUAGAUAUAUGGAAGAACACCAGUGGCGAAAGCGGCUCUCUGGUCUGUAACUGACGCUGAGGUUCGAAAGCGUGGGUAGCAAACAGGAUUAGAUACCCCUGUAGUC
rnacentral:rRNA from 1 species